rnacentral:misc_RNA from 1 species
UACUCCAUGCUCAGAAGCCAAGUCCUGGGAUUUAGAACUAAUGAUUUGGGCAUUUGCAUGCAUAAAAUACUCUCCAACAGAAUCAAGAUUAUGUUCAACAUUGCUAACCUCUAUUUUCACUUCACAACAAACAAUUUCAGUACUACCACUUGAAGCACAUGGAAACUCUUGUAAGCAAUUAGCAGCUUCAGAUCCAAUAUGAGAUACCACAGGCAAUUUACUUUCCAUCUUUGAUGCAUUAUGCAGGUUCAACUGCACAUGCAAUUCUUGUAAUGCAUUGUCAAUGGGCAGAAUGAUGGAAGCAGGCAAAGAAUUCUGUUGUACAGUAAUCUUUGCCACUUGUUGAUAAGCAUCACAUACAGAAUCAGGAGGGCUCACAAUAUUUUCAUUUCUCCCGUCCAGAUUAUUAGAAAUCGUAACAGAUUGAUCAUGGCAUUUUAUUUUAUUCCUGUCCUGAAUUGUGAGGUUAGAUGGCUCACUCAAGGUAGCAGCAAGUCGACCAGAUUCAGCUGCGGCAGGUUCACCAAUUACAUUACCAGAACAAGCUACAUUAGACACACUGGAACCUGCCAAAUCAAAUCCACCUGAAUCACUCCCAUCACAAUUAUUUAUCAUCUCAUCUUCAGUUUUUUUACCAGCAUUGCACAGAGAAUCAAGAGGGUUCACAAUAUUUGCAUUUCCCCCCUCCAGAAUAUCUGAAGUCAAUGUUGACUGAACACAGCAUUUUGUAUUAUUCAGACCCUGAAUUGAGAUGUCAGAUGUAUUAUUCAAGCAGCCAUCAAGAAAUAGGGAAGCUGCGGCAGGUUCACCAGUUAUUUUGCUGGUAUAACUAGAACCUUUCAAAUCAAAUCCAGUUGAAUAUCUCCCCUCAGAAUUGUUUAUCAUCUCAUUUCCACAUUGUUCAUCAAUAUCAUGUGAAGAAUCAUGGGGUUCCACAAUACUUUUAUUUCCACCAUCUAGAUUAUCAGAAGUCAAACCUGACUCAUGGCAUUUUGUAGUGUUAGCACUCUGGAUUCCAACUUCAGAUGUAUCAUUGAAGCAACCAUCAGGAAGAAGUGAACCAGAUUCAACAACAGCAGAUUCACCAAUUAUGCUAUUGGCAUGAGGUAAACUAGUCUCACUAGAACCUUUCAAAUGAAAUCCAGCUGAAUAUCUCUCAUCAGAAUUGUUUACUAUCUCAUUUCCACAUUGUUCAUCAAUAUCAUGUGAAGAAUCAUGGGGUUCCACAAUACUUUUAUUUCCACCAUCUAGAUUAUCAGAAGUCAAACCUGACUCAUGGCAUUUUGUAGUGUUAGCACUCUGGAUUCCAACUUCAGAUGUAUCAUUGAAGCAACCAUCAGGAAGAAGUGAACCAGAUUCAACAACAGCAGAUUCACCAAUUAUGCUAUUGGCAUGAGGUAAACUAGUCUCACUAGAACCUUUCAAAUGAAAUCCAGCUGAAUAUCUCUCAUCAGAAUUGUUUACU